rnacentral:tRNA from 4 species
GCCGGAGUAGCUCAGAUAGUUAGAGCGGGCGCUUCAUAAGCGCCAGGUCACAGGUGCAACUCCUGUCUCCGGUACUA